rnacentral:rRNA from 1 species
CAUCCUCCAAGGCUAAAUACUCCUGACUGACCGAUAGUGAACCAGUACCGUGAGGGAAAGGCGAAAAGAACCCCGGCGAGGGGAGUGAAAAAGAACCUGAAACCGUGUACGUACAAGCAGUGGGAGCCCCACCACUAAGCCAGUGGUGAACUCCACAUACGCAUCCUUUGCUGAGGAUACGGUUAACGGAGCGCAAGCGACGUUCAACCGCAAAAGAAGCAGAGGGGGCUUAGUGGUGGGGUGACUGCGUACCUUUUGUAUAAUGGGUCAGCGACUUAUAUUCUGUAGCAAGGUUAACCGUAUAGGGGAGCCGGAGGGAAACCGAGUCUUAAUUGGGCGUUAAGUUGCAGGGUAUAGACCCGAAACCCGGUGAUCUAGCCAUGGGCAGGUUGAAGGUUGGGUAACACUAACUGGAGGACCGAACCGACUAAUGUUGAAAAAUUAGCGGAUGACCUGUGGCU